CGUUACCAUUGGAGAAGACAGACGCAGCAAUAGAUUUCAGACGAAUAGAGAAGCAAUGGUGAUACUGAAGAAGAGAACUCGAACCCCGGAAGCAUAUGCAAAUUCGAAAGAAGCCCAGAAUGACAAAACCCAAGCCAGUGGUACCCAAGAACAAGAGAGUUCAGGGUACGAGCAGUUUAGAGAUAAAAGGAUUAAAGAGAAUGCAGAAGCUUGGGAUCCACGACCUCUCUCUCAAACUCAAGUUCGGCGUUCCCUCUCCCAAGCGCACUUCCAGAAACACUCCCGAAAGAAAAAUGCCUCACCCUUCUCUACUGCUCCCUUCUGAACCCCAAAGACGUUCUUCCAGAUUACAGAAUGUAGCUCCUAUUAGCUACUCAGAACUCCAUGCAUACAA